rnacentral:lncRNA from 7 species
CCCGAAGCAUGCGCGACCGAUAGGACAGCUGUGCGUUGCAAGGCGCUACCGACCGAUCUCCCGUCGCCAUCAGCGUCGCAGUGACGCCGUGCCCCGUCCGCGACGCGCGGCGUCGCCCGGGACCCUCUGGCCUCUGGCAAGCGGGGGCGGAUCCGCACUGUCCGGUCCGCGGCAGCGAUAGCACGGCCCGGCGGGAUCCGCGCGUCCGGUCGUUUUCCAACAGCGAUGCGCCUCGGGCCGCUCCUUCCUUCCUUCCUUCCGGGACCGCAAGCCCCCGUACCACGCCAAGCGCCGAACCAUGCGUCCAUGCUGUACGGCGACAGCUCACUCGCGUCCGCGCGCUCGUGACCGUUGCGCGCGCGUGCGUGCGUGCGUGCGGGGCAUGCCGCAUCCCGCAUGCUUGCGCGCAGAACGUCCCGGGAGAAGGAGAGGCCGAGGGACUAGUGACUAGUGAGUGACAUCUCACUUUGGACGGACGUCGGACGUUGCAAGUGAGUGGCACUGUGGUUUGGUUUCGGUGUGUGGUGGGCUGACCGACGCGACACCCGAGAGAGGCAAGCUGCUGCGUGUGUGGAUGGUGUACCACCACUUCUAUACUCUUGGUUGGAGUUUAUUUCAACUGAACGUCAUGCUGCUCUGAUUUAAAAUCUUGAUCGAGUAAGGGCAGUCAUAUCGGCUCUUUAGGGUUACUGCGAGAGAAUAUAUAGUCGACUCAACCACCUGAGGCGCGCUUCCCUGUAAUCAUCCAUGUUUUUAUAAUGAUGAAUUGAAUAAUGUGGAUCUUAGCUUCAUUUGUUUCCCAUAGUCCACACCGACC